rnacentral:rRNA from 1 species
GACGAACGCUGGCGGCGUGCUUAACACAUGCAAGUCGAACGGAAAGGCCCUGCUUUUGUGGGGUGCUCGAGUGGCGAACGGGUGAGUAACACGUGAGUAACCUGCCCUUGACUUUGGGAUAACUUCAGGAAACUGGGGCUAAUACCGGAUAGGGGCUCCUGCUGCAUGGUGGGGGUUGGAAAGUUUCGGCGGUUGGGGAUGGACUCGCGGCUUAUCAGCUUGUUGGUGGGGUAGUGGCUUACCAAGGCUUUGACGGGUAGCCGGCCUGAGAGGGUGACCGGCCACAUUGGGACUGAGAUACGGCCCAGACUCCUACGGGAGGCAGCAGUGGGGAAUAUUGCACAAUGGGCGGCAGCCUGAUGCAGCAACGCCGCGUGCGGGAUGACGGCCUUCGGGUUGUAAACCGCUUUCGCCUGUGACGAAGCGUGAGUGACGGUAAUGGGUAAAGAAGCACCGGCUAACUACGUG